rnacentral:rRNA from 1 species
UACGAAGGGGGCUAGCGUUGUUCGGAUUUACUGGGCAUAAAGCGCACGUAGGCGGAUCGUUAAGUCGGGGGUGAAAUCCUGGAGCUCAACUCCAGAACUGCCUUCGAUACUGGCGAUCUUGAGUCCGGAAGAGGUGAGUGGAACUCCUAGUGUAGAGGUGGAAUUCGUAGAUAUUAGGAAGAACACCAGUGGCGAAGGCGGCUCACUGGUCCGGUACUGACGCUGAGGUGCGAAAGCGUGGGGAGCAAACAGGG